UCUCCGUUGGUGAACCAGCGGAGGGAUCAUUACAGGACUCGCAAGACUCCUUCACCCUGUGAACCUCACUACAAGCACGUUGCUUCGGCGGGUGUCCUGGCGGGGGUUUUCCCUCGCCGGGGCGCACAGCCCGCCGGCAGCCUACUAUACUCUGUCUCUUUGCGUUGGCAUCUCGAGAAAAAACAAACAAGUUAAAACUUUCAACAACGGAUCUCUUGGUUCUG
rnacentral:misc_RNA from 1 species